CCCUUCAUGGUAUAGUGGUCAGCACGCUGGGCGCGUAUUCCAGAGGUCCGUGGUUCGAGUCCCGGCGAAGGCA
rnacentral:tRNA from 1 species